ACGAGGUAAAUAGUUGUUUCAAUGGAGGCAGUCGCAAUUCCACACAACAUACUCAUCGGAUUCGAUUAGCUAUGCGUAUAUUUGCUAUACACACGCUUUAGAAUUUAUUCUCCUUUCAACACUGUGAACAAAUCAGAGUGUAUCAAACAUGUCGUUUUUGAAUGUGCAUUGAAUGUCUUAUCAUGGGAUGUUGCACUUUCUGCGUUAAAAAUUUAUUACUGCUUCGUGCUGUAAUUAUUUUUUUACACACACACACACACACAUACGCACAUGUUGUAUGCCACGUAAAUAAUUUUUAACGGUUAAAAAUGUCGAUGGGGAUAGUUGGAGUCAACAGUACUGCUGGGCGAGAGGUGAAAUUCAUUGACCCUAGCAAGACUACCAAAAGCGAAAGCAGUUGGCUAGGCUAUACUCUUUGUGAUUAUAUAUAUUUUAUCACGCAUAAAUAUACACACACACACAUACACACUCACGUAUAUACAUGCGGUCAGUAUAUAUACAUACACUUUACAAUGAAGAACGAAGGUUGGGGGAUCAAAGAGGAUCAGAUACCCUCGUCGUCCCAUUUGUUACAUCAAACGAUGGGCUCUCAAUUGCAUUUUUCAUUAAAUUGCAAAUUUCCUCAGCCUACAAAAUGACUUGGCUUGAGCUCGUAUUUUUAAUACGCUCGCCUAACUUUUUUCGUACGGUCUCGAUGGACGUUUCAUUUAACUUUCUUUGCGUGUAAGCAUUUGUUAUUCUUUGAAACAUAAGAAUGCAUUGCGUGCACUUGAUUUUCGGAGCUUUGCGCUCAAUUCUGGUGAGAUGUAAGCACUAUGUCAUACUGCCCGCAGCGUAUAUCUUCGGGUAUUUCGUCUGUCGUGUGCAGUUGACAAUCUUGGUGUGAAGCACGCUUUAGGCACGCGCUUACUGCAGAAAUGUCUGAGACAUUCUCCUCCGGGGGUAGUAUGCACGCAAGUGUGAAACUUGAAGGAAUUGACGGAAGGGCACCACAAGAACGCGUGGAGCAUGUGGCUUAAUUUGACCCAACGCGGGAAAUCUUACCGGGUCCGGACACACUGAGGAUUGACAGGCAAUAUUAAUAAUUUUAUGUGCGUAUCAUAUAUUUUAUUAUGUUAAAUAUGCUAGUCCUUUCAUGAUUAUGUGAUAGGUGGUGCAUGGCCGUUCUUAGUUCGUGGAGUGAUCUGUCUGCUUAAUUGCGUUUCACUAAGGGCCUAUAAAUUCACGUAUGUUGCGACACUUUGACCCCUCCUCUGCGUGAAAGCGUGCGUCUUUGUUUGUUUAGCUCAUACAAUUAGGUCCUGAAAGCAACGAACGUGACCGCAACCUCUUGUUGCCUUUAUACCAAAACAUUGUGUUUGCGUUCUGCGCAAAUCUGUGCAAGAAAGCUUUUUAAACUAGAGGGACCGCUGUUAUCUUCUUAAACCAGAGGAAGGUUGCGGCAAUAACAGGUCUGUGAUGCCCUUAGAUGUUCCGGGCUGCACACGUGCUACAAUGAUUAUUGCAGUGAGCAUCUCAUUUUUUACACACCGCAUGCGCGAGAUUUAUUCACAUUGCCUUCACGGGCUGUGCUUUAAAUGUGUAUCUCUGCGCGCGGUAAAGCCUGCUUCGAAAGUAAGUGGGUAAUCAAUUAGAAGUAAUGAUUUCCUUUUUUUUCUGCACACAUAUAUACGGCAGCUAUACCCGGGUAACCUUGUUGUUACUUUUGUGUGUAUAGUUGUACCCUUCCGUAUGUGCGAUUGUCAAUUCAUGGUGGGGACAGACCAUUGUUAAUUGUUGGUCUCGGUCUUAACUAGGAAUGCCUUGUACGGGUCUUUGGUUCAACAAACCACCCGGAAUACGUCCCUGCCCUUUGUACACACCGCCCGUCGCUCUUACCGAUGGACUUCUCUGUGAGUUUGAGGACUGGGUUUUUUUUUUUUUAAAAAAAUACGCACACCUAUGGAAACUUAAACGAACAGUGUGGUCUAAAGGAAAGAGAAGUCGUAAC
rnacentral:rRNA from 1 species